CCAUUCCACGCGACGGGUGGCAUUUAGAUAAGGUCGAAAAUUCGUGAGACCUCCACUUAGAUAAGGUCGGAAAUUUAUGGUAGGUAGAUCCACUUUCAUUCCACCUUUUUCACACAAAUAUUCUUUUUUCUAUAUUUUUCCCACGUAAAUUUAUGGUAGGUGGACCCACUUUCAUUCCACCAUUUUCACACAAAUAUUCUUUUUUCUAUAUUUUUUCCACGUAAACAUAAGGCUAAUAAUAAACAACAGAAAUGAUACUCACAAAGCAAUUGUGCACAAAUUGCAGUAUGGGGCCCACUAAAAGUCCCACACAAAUGAUCCGAACCGUUUAUCAAAUGUAAAAUAUUUUUUCAAAGGCCGCCGCGAAAAACCAUCUCAAUCCGAUACCUAUAAAUAUACGAUUCAAUCAUCUAACUUUUUAUUAUCCUAAAAUUCGAAUGAAAAAUUAAAUGAUUGAAUCGAGCACUUAUAUCGGAUUGAGCUG